rnacentral:tRNA from 1 species
GCUCGCAUAGCUCAGUGGUAGAGCAUUUCACUAGUAAUGAAAAGGUCGGCGGUUCAAGUCCGCCUGUGAGCU